ACAGGCAACAAAACCAGGCUAAAUUUAGGGACAAACCCUUCUCUGUACUGCAAAUGAGAAUAAUUGAAAACAGUCGGAUUGGAAGUGCCAGAAGCUGAAGAGCACUGUAGCACUGAAUCUCCUAAAAAUUCCAGGAUUUAUCUCCAGGUGUAUGGAGACACAAAAAUGCAGGCUCAUCAGUCAGAUCCUUUUGGUUUGAAGACUGAUUGCUGUAUGAUGGAGAUGAGUUACGUAUUCAGCAUCCCCAAGGAGAAAUGUCAUGAACUAUUACAGGCUCAGCCAUGAACUCCUUGCAAGGAGUUUCUAAGAUCUGUGUGUUCAAGUUUCUUUGAAAAGUCCAGAUUUUGGCUGAACUUCUUACACUCCAUAAAAGGACUUUUGAGCCGAUCCUUUGAGAGACAGAACAGACUUGAUUCUGCCUCUGCUGCAGAAAGUUGGAUAUAUUUCGGUGGAAAGAUAUUAAUAACCUAGAAACAAAGGAGGAAAAGAUCAGCUUCAAACAGAUGGGUGGUAGAAACUGCCUGCCACAUCAAUGACAAGGAAAAUUUACAGAAGAAACUACAGUUCAAC
rnacentral:lncRNA from 1 species